rnacentral:rRNA from 1 species
CAGCAGCCACGGUAAUACGGAGGGAGCUAGCGUUGUUCGGAAUUACUGGGCGUAAAGCGCGCGUAGGCGGUUUUUUAAGUCAGAGGUGAAAGCCCAGUGCUCAACACUGGAACUGCCUUUGAAACUGGAAAACUUGAAUCUUGGAGAGGUCAGUGGAAUUCCGAGUGUAGAGGUGAAAUUCGUAGAUAUUCGGAAGAACACCAGUGGCGAAGGCGACUGACUGGACAAGUAUUGACGCUGAGGUGCGAAAGCGUGGGGAGCAAACAGGAUUAGAUACCCCCGUAGUCCCUGUCUCUUAUAC